rnacentral:tmRNA from 1 species
GGGGCUGACUGGCUUUGACAGCGUGUAGAAGCGGUAAGCAAGCAUGCAGAGCCUUGAUGCGUAAGCUCUAUAAUACCGACGUAUCGAACUAUAAUUGGCGAAAAUAACAAUUACGCUCUCGCUGCGUGAUCUGAAGCACAGUAGGAUCCCUUUAUUCUGCUCAAAGUGAGCAGAACGAGACAUCGCUCCAUUGCCCCGUUCCGAGACGUUUGGACAAAGCGGUGCUGAGAAAUUCGGAAAUAGGGGAGCAGCAGCCUUGACUGCUCUCCGAGAUUUAAAGGCUAAGGAAAUGGUUGGUAGUCGCGAGCCUGCCAUUUCUCGAAAANCAAGUCGAUGACUAAGCAUGUAGAAAACUUAUUGGUUCCGCGUUUGGACGAGGGUUCAAACCCCUCCANCUCCACUA